GGAGAGCAUCUCGUUGGGGGAGGCAGGAGGGACAGGCAGGGUGAGGGUCAGAGGAAGGAACAGGUGGGGUGAGGGACAGGCGGGGUGAGGGCAGCAUCUGGAGUGGGUGCUGCAGCAGGCCAGACACCUUUUCCAGCCUCCACUGCUCACUGGCAGCACCAACGGGGCAGCACUGAGUGCGUCUAAGCAGGACGAUGAAACAUCAGUGGGGCUUGGCCCGGCUGGGUGGAGACUUUACUAAGUAAAUAGGCCAGGGCAGUGGCUCACGCCUGUAAUCCCAGCACUUUGGGAGGUCGAGGUGGGUGGAUCACCUGAGGACAGGAGUUCGAGACCAGCCUGGCCAACAUGAAGAAACCCUGUCUCUACCAAAAAUUCCUAAACUAGCUGGGUAUGGUGGUGAGCACCUAUAAUCCCAGCUACUCAGGUGGCUGAGGCAGGAGAAUCGCUUGAACCUGGGAGGCAGAGGUUGCAGUGAGCCAAGAUUGUGCCACUGUACUCCAGCCUGGGUGACAGGGUGAAACUGUCUCAAAGAAAAAAAAAAUAGAAAACCAGAAUAAACCAGGUGGUCCUGAGAAACCCAGAGACUCAAAUAUGGUGGGGGGUUCUCUGCAGGGCCCACAGAGCCAGUGAGCCCUGCCCCCAUGCACAGCCCCUUCCAGGGGAACUCUGGCCGCCUCUCGUAGAGCUCCAGCUGGUGCAGAAAGCGCUUAGAGGCAAACAUCAGAAUCGUUGGUGCAGGUUCCUCCUGGCGCUGCCAGCCCACCCCAGGUGCCUGCUGAGCUUUUGCUGAGUCUGUACUUUCUUGCCCCAGUGCAGCCACAGCCGUGGAGCCUUCAGUGUGCAGAGAACACAGGCCAUGAGCGCAGAAGCUUCCAGAACAAGAGUGACGCUGCUCCAGCAGAGCUCUCAGUCAGGAGGGCAGGGCCAUGAGAAACAAGCGGGAGACCAGGAGGCCAUGAGGCUCUGCAUGUGGAUCCCUGAACCAAGGCCACCGAGCCGUCCACAUGGACUGAACAGGCUGCACUGGGCCAUCGGGCUUGCUCAGGAAGCCUGGGCAAAGGAGGGUACCGGGUGCACAGAAACCUGGCGGGAAGGGCCGCAGGCCUGCUGCACUUGCCAGCAGCCACGAGGUUCUCGUGGAACAGAAGGAAUGAAGACCUCCUGGACUACAGGUGCCACCAGAUGCCAGGGCUUCAGUCUGGCCGUGCUGCCCCGUGCACCGGAGGCUCCGGCCUGGCCGCGCUGCCCUGUGGACUGGAGAUGCGGUGGGCUUGGGAUUCCCACCUGCACAAGGAGAAGGAAGGGGAGGAAACCCCCCUGAGGGCUGGCACUGAAACCGGCCGCCCGCGUGGGGCAGGGAGACCUUAUUUACACUUUAUUGACAGACACAACACGUAUGUACAUGCGUCGCAGCACAGGCCCUGUGGGCAAGACCGGACGCUCAUGAUCCCAGGGAUAAAAAAUCUCUCCGCGAGCGGGCGGGGGGCCCGGGCGGGGGGAGUCCGCUCCCCAGGGCACCAUUCGCUUAAAGUGUGUUAAUAACU